CUAAACGAGAGUUUGAUCCUGGCUCAGAAUCAACGCUGGCGGCGUGCCUCAGACAUGCAAGUCGAACGCGA
rnacentral:rRNA from 1 species